rnacentral:rRNA from 1 species
UACGAAGGGGGCUAGCGUUGUUCGGAAUUACUGGGCGUAAAGGGCGCGUAGGCGGCCUGUUUAGUCAGAUGUGAAAGCCCCGGGCUCAACCUGGGAACCGCAUUUGAUACUGGCAGGCUUGAGUUCCGGAGAGGAUGGUGGAAUUCCCAGUGUAGAGGUGAAAUUCGUAGAUAUUCGGAAGAACACCAGUGGCGAAGGCGGCUCACUGGACUGGUAUUGACGCUGAGGUGCGAAAGCGUGGGGAGCAAACAGG